CCUACGGGUGGCAGCAGUGGGGAAUAUUGCACAAUGGGCGCAAGCCUGAUGCAGCCAUGCCGCGUGUGUGAAGAAGGCCUUCGGGUUGUAAAGCACUUUCAGCGGGGAGGAAGGCGGUGAGGUUAAUAACCUCAUCGAUUGACGUUACCCGCAGAAGAAGCACCGGCUAACUCCGUGCCAGCAGCCGCGGUAAUACGGAGGGUGCAAGCGUUAAUCGGAAUUACUGGGCGUAAAGCGCACGCAGGCGGUCUGUCAAGUCGGAUGUGAAAUCCCCGGGCUCAGCCUGGGAACUGCAUUCGAAACUGGCAGGCUAGAGUCUUGUAGAGGGGGGUAGAAUUCCAGGUGUAGCGGUGAAAUGCGUAGAGAUCUGGAGGAAUACCGGUGGCGAAGGCGGCCCCCUGGACAAAGACUGACGCUCUGGUGCGAAAGCGUGGGGAGCAAACAGGAUUAGAUACCCGGGUAGUC
rnacentral:rRNA from 1 species